UGUUUACCUGAGGUUUCAAUGAGAGGAGAGUAUAACUUUCUUAAUGUAUAUGAAGAAACAUGGGAUGAAAAAAACAGAGGAGGAGGAGGCGUCUUAAACCUUACAAGCACAACUACAGUUGCAAUGAACAAGGUAAUGAUCGCACUUUGCUUCAUUUACUACUUUGAUGGUCCUUAAACAUCUUUUUGAUCAAUCUUGCGCUGUCUUCACAUUUUUCAUCUAAUGUCACCCACAAAACAAGCUAAACUGCUAAAGUGAUCAAGGAUUGACAAAAGUUGUAUGCACAGCUGUACAGUACACAAAUAUGUACUCAUUCCUAACUUCAUAAUACUCUAAAAUCAUGAGAGGAUUGGUUGUGUCGUGUGUGUUGUGUGUUUAUAGAUAGAGAUGAUGUCAUAGGCAAUUGAUGAAACAUUUGACAAAGACGAAGUUUGAAAAACUACAGAUCUAGCUAAUCAGGUGGUCAAUGAGAUUACAGAUCGCAGGAUGGCUACAAAAAUGACGUUUCCACUACAGUCAAUAAAAAGGGGCACGGCUUGGAAUUUACUGAAGUGGAUGAUCUAAAAGAUAGAGUUAGAUAUUUAAAGAUCACCAAACAAAUUGACAAGUUCCUAUCUCAUUAUUCCCAUCCAAACAAUCUAUAAAGUCCUAUAUCUAUCACAAUUCACGUGAUGUCUGGUUUGCUCGACAAACUAUCUCCGGCCAGACGGGCCAACAACAGCAUGACCUAUAGUGUCUGUCACAGAAACACACCUAUAGUGUCUGUCACACUUGCAGAGCUUCUCACGAGUAUGGAAGAUGAGCAGAACGGCAAGAGUCAUUCCAUUCCUUCUCCUUCAAAGACUUGACUUACAGCGUGAAGAUCAAGAAGAAGUUAACCCACUUUCCUGUUG